GAGUUAGAUCCUGGCUCAGGACGAACGCUGGCGGCGUGCCUAAUACAUGCAAGUCGAGCGGAUCUAGAUGAGAGCUUGCUCUUAUCGAAGAUUAGCGGCGGACGGGUGAGUAACACGUGGGUAACCUGCCUGUAAGCGCGGGAUAACUUUUGGAAACAGAAGCUAAGACCGCAUAACUGUGUGAGCUGCAUAGCAUACACAUAAAAAGUGCUAAGGCACUGCUUACAGAGGGGCCCGCGGCGCAUUAGCUAGUUGGUGGAGUAAAAGUUCACCAAGGCAACGAUGCGUAGCCGACCUGAGAGGGUGACCGGCCACACUGGAACUGAGACACGGUCCAGACUCCUACGGGAGGCAGCAGUAGGGAAUCUUCCGCAAUGGGCGAAAGCCUGACGGAGCAACGCCGCGUGAGCGAAGAAGGCCUUCGGGUCGUAAAGCUCUGUCGUUAGGGAAGAAAGAAUAGUAGAGGGAAUGCUACUAUUUAGACGGUACCAAACAAGAAAGCCCCGGCUAACUACGUGCCAGCAGCCGCGGUAAUACGUAGGGGGCAAGCGUUGUCCGGAAUCAUUGGGCGUAAAGCGCGCGCAGGUGGUCUAGUAAGUCUGAUGUGAAACCCUAAGGCUCAACCUUAGGCUGGCAUUGGAAACUGCAAGACUUGAGGACAGAAGAGGAAAGUGGAAUUCCUAGUGUAGCGGUGAAAUGCGUAGAUAUUAGGAGGAACACCAGUGGCGAAGGCGACUUUCUGGACUGUAAC
rnacentral:rRNA from 1 species